rnacentral:rRNA from 1 species
UACGGGGGGGGCAAGCGUUGUUCGGAAUUACUGGGCGUAAAGGGCUCGUAGGCGGCCAACUAAGUCAGACGUGAAAUCCCCAGGCUCAACCUGGGAACUGCGUCUGAUACUGGUUGGCUUGAAUCCGGGAGAGGGAUGCGGAAUUCCAGGUGUAGCGGUGAAAUGCGUAGAUAUCUGGAGGAACACCGGUGGCGAAGGCGGCAUCCUGGACCGACACUGACGCUGAGGAGCGAAAGCCAGGGGAGCAAACGGG